rnacentral:rRNA from 1 species
UACGUAGGGCGCAAGCGUUGUCCGGAAUUAUUGGGCGUAAAGAGCUCGUAGGCGGCCUGUUACGUCUGCUGUGAAAUCCCGGGGCUUAACCCCGGGCGUGCAGUGGAUACGGGCAGGCUGGAGGCAGGCAGGGGAGAACGGAAUUCCCGGUGUAGCGGUGAAAUGCGCAGAUAUCGGGAGGAACACCUGUGGCGAAAGCGGCUCACUGGACCAUAACUGACGCUGAUGCACGAAAGCUGGGGGAGCAAACAGG